AUGUAUAGGAUAGGGAUGUAGAAUGAGUCC
rnacentral:piRNA from 1 species